rnacentral:rRNA from 1 species
UACGUAGGGGGCAAGCGUUGUCCGGAUUUAUUGGGCGUAAAGAGCGUGUAGGCGGCCUGACAAGUCUGCUGUGAAAACUCGAGGCUCAACCUCGAGAUGUCGGCGGAACUGUCUGGCUAGAGGUAGGUAGGGAGAAUGGAAUUCCCGGUGUAGCGGUGAAAUGCGCAGAUAUCGGGAGGAACACCGGUGGCGAAGGCGGUUCUCUGGGCCGAUACUGACGCUGAGGAGCGAAAGCGUGGGGAGCGAACAGG